AUUGAACGCUGGCGGCAGGCCUAACACAUGCAAGUCGAACGGUAACAGAAAGCAGCUUGCUGCUUUGCUGACGAGUGGCGGACGGGUGAGUUAUGUCUGUGAAACUUCCUGAUGGAGGGGGAUAACUACUGGAAACGGUUGCUACUACCGCAUAACGUCGCAAGACCAAAGAGGGGGACCUUCGGGCCUCUUGCCAUCGGAUGUGCCCAGGUGGGAUUAGCUAGUAGGUGGGGUAACGGCUCACCUAGGCGACGAUCCCUAGCUGGUCUGAGAGGAUGACCAGCCACACUGGAACUGAGACACGGUCCAGACUCCUACGGGAGGCAGCAGUGGGGAAUAUUGCACAAUGGGCGCAAGCCUGAUGCAGCCAUGCCGCGUGUAUGAAGAAGGCCUUCGGGUUGUAAAGUACUUUCAGCGGGGAGGAAGGGAGUAAAGUUAAUACCUUUGCGCAUUGACGUUACCCGCAGAAGAAGCACCGGCUAACUCCGUG
rnacentral:rRNA from 1 species